UGUUUCAGGAUUCUUCGAUGUUUUAUUGGGAGAAGGUAUGGAGUACGAGGACGAUGACCCUCCAGCAUCUACUGGGCCUACAGGGUCAAUAUUUACAGUCUUGCAGAAAUGGCGCAUGGAUACACUGAAACAUUCUCAUCACAUGAAUUUGUCCACUGACACAUACAUACAUUCAAAUCAUAUUCACAGACCUGAUGGGUACACCUUGAUCCCAUUCAUACAGCUUCUGAUGGGUCCACUUCACAUUCUUACCUCCACUUGCAUGCAUACAGUACAUCCCCAUUAUACGGAGCAGGACACAGACACAAACAUCCUCAUCUGAGAUAUGAAGAGGAUAACAGUGAUAUGAAGGGGAUAACAGAGAUAUGAAGGGGAUAACAGUGAUAUGAAGGGGAUAACAGAAAUAUGAAGGGGAUAACAGAGAUAUGAAGGGGAUAACAGUGAUAUGAAGGGGAUAACAGAGAUAUGAAGGGGAUAACAGAGAUAUGAAGGGGAUAACAGAGAUAUGAAGGGGAUAACAGAGAUAUGAAGGGGAUAACAGAGAUAUGAAGGGGAUAACAGAGAUAUGAAGGGGAUAACAGAGAUAUGAAGGGGAUAACAGAGAUAUGACGUGGAUAACAUUGAUAUGAAGGGGAUAACAGAGAUAUGAAGGGUAUAACAGAGAUAUGAAGGAUAACAGAGAUUUGAUUAAUGUUAAUAAUAGAAUAUUUAAUCAAUCUAAACACAGCUGAUUGCAGUUUCAGCUGAAAAUCUACAGUACCCAAGUGUUGUACUCUGUACCUUUUGAGACAAACGGUGAACAUGUAAAGAACUCCAGUAUCAAUACACCCAGGUAAGAUGUCUGUUCAAUAACCAAACAGGGUAUAUACAAAUCUAAGCAUAAUGUAAAGUACUGUAAACCUGUGGACAAAACUUUGUUUUAGAGAGUGAUGGAGAUGGAAGCCAGUCAAUCUGCACAUAAAUACAUGUUUGUGGAUGGAGCUGGAUUCAACCUGGCAAAAACACACCGCAGGGGAAGAAAUGUGAUUGGUCAGAGAGCCACCGUGGAUGUCCCAGGUCAGAGAGGAGCUAACAUCACAAUGUGUGCAGCACUGUCCAAUGAAGUUUUGCUGUUACACAAACCACUCAUUGGCCCCUACAACACAGAGAGGCUGGUGAUUAUACUAUACUUGUUGAUGUUUGUUUGUGAUUAUUGCAGCCCUGGAACUUUGGGAAAUUAGUUAUUUGUUUGAAGUUAUUAUUUUCAAAAGUAUAAUUUCCUAUAUGCAAAGAUGUAGAAAAAAAAAAAGGAUAUUCCUUCAAAUGGCCGCAUUUUUUUAUUCAUUCUUGUUCCGUAUACAUUAGUACAGUCAAUAAAGUGAGGUGUUUUUCUUAUUCUAUGAUCAAAUACUGAUUUAUGUGAAAUAUUAUUUCAAAAACAUACAAGACAAAAGUUUGGCACUUAUGUAAUACUCCCUGUUGUUAGUGUUUUUUAGGUCAGUGUGUUAUGAGUGACAAUGUGUGAUUCUGAGUGAGAAUUAUUGCCAGUAUUUUGGUUGAACAAUCUUAUUUUGAGACAUGAAAAAGCUUAUUUUGAUACAUGUAUGAAGUGUUUUGGUGGUUUUAGUGAGUUUUGGAGGUGAGAUUAACUGUUUGGCAAAGACGCACGUUAGAAAUGCAGACUGUGUGAAGAGUUUUGUUAUUGUUGUUGCAGUAUUGACCGAUGCUUGUUAGCAAUCGGGAAAAACUGUAAGAUGUUGCUUGUUUGCUGGGCCCCCUCUUCCCCACCUGCAACUGCUCUCUCCCCCUCUCUCUCUCCCUCUCUCUCCCUCUCUCUCUCCCGCUCUCUCUCCCACUCUCUCUCCCCUCUACCUCUACCCCCAGCCCUGAACCUUGUGAGCAGCCUUCUCCGAGCCCCCAGGGCCCAAGGCAGGCAAGCAGCACACUGAGGGUCGCCCAACACGGAAAUGUCUAACAGUGGACAACAGCUGCAUGGGCUGGCCUGGCCCAGGACCAGCCACCUCUUAGCCACAAAGGGCUGCUUGUGCCCCAACCGGGUGGAACAUAAAACACAAGAGAUAAGCUGAGCGACAGUGUUUGCCAGGACCAGUGCACCUCCAUAAACAGGAAGUGAGUGCGAGUGGCUGACACAGGGCACGCUCACCGUGGGGUACAAACAGCACCCCCAAAUCCGCACCAUUCCAACACCCCCUCCAGGGACGAGCUAAACCGCCAAGUUUGUCCGGGGGGGGGCGGCUUCCAAUGGAAAACCCUAUUGGGUCGAAGGUGUUGCCGUGGAGGGCAUGUUUGAAGAUGGAAGAGGAUAUGAACGCGGUUGAGGUCUGUUUUCCCAUGAUCCACCAUUCCUAGGUGUCCUUUUUUCCACAAGUCAAAUAUCAUGAACUCAAAUGUGUUGAAAGGUUUGUUUCACUUUCUGACAGACAUUUCUGUAACUUUGCCUUGUUGGGCUCAGGGCCGUCAACACACCUGGAUUUUCAGGGCUCUAGCCUUGGAUGUUUUUUGUUCAGACCCAAGUGUUUCGCAAGCUGACAUUACCCAGCUGGGAUGGGAGUUAAGAAACAUGCACGAUGUGCGCGUCAUUGAGAUUUUGCAGGUUGGUAAGACAUAUCAGUACCCCAGACAGCACUUAAACUAACAUUAAUUCAUGAAUAAACGAUUUGUAGCAAAAUGAUGUAAUACUACACUAACAUGUUUGCCAAACUACACAAAUGCCUUGCUCUGACUAUAUGCUAAACCAUGCCCCCAAAUUCUCCCCAAAAAAGUACACAACUAGAGGGACAGAAUCUCAAACUGCAAUACAUAUCAAAAACCCAAUCUGAUAAUAGUUUGCUACAGUGUGUUUCAGAUUGAGUCAUUAGGGAAAUUAUACUGCACUCCAUAUUUGUAAGAAAAAUUUAUCAAAUAUUUAUAUAGAAUAUAAAAAUAAAUGCAACAUGCAACAAU
ensembl:lncRNA